ACUGUGCAAUUCCAAGUAUGAAAUUACUAAUUAAAAUGUAUUCACAGCAAGGUUAUUUCUUGAAAUGAAAUAGUUGGGGCGGACACAGAACACUUGAGACUACAUUAGCCUUUCACCUAUCAAUGGAGAGACAGGAAAAAAAGAAAGAUCCUGAUUUCAAAUUAUUCUACUUUACUUGCAUGUUUGAAGAGUUAUGGGUGAGAGACUUGUGGUUUAUUACCAUACAACAAAACUAUUUCAUGAUAUUUCACCUUUCCACCAGCUCUCCAGAAGCAUGUUCAUUGUGGAAGUCUCAGAAUGGAGGAAAGGAAUUGCAGGGAAAAUGGUAGAAAGAUUGUUGAAAAACAUUAAGCUGAGAAGCUGCUGCUGUCCCAGAUGUGAAAAGCAGCAGUUGCAUUGAAAGCUCCUGCAACACAUCAUCUGGGUAUGUUCCCUGUCUGAGCAAAGCAUGUGCUUGCAAGUGGGAACCAAGUGUUUGAAUGGCAUCAAGGAGAGGGUGGAAAAGAGGCUGGGAGAGCAAGUGACAAGAGAGCAAGACACAGCAAGAGAGCUAACCCAAGGUGACCAAAGGGCUAUGCCACAGACCAUCAUACGCUCAGCAGUAAAGCUGCGGUUGGGAGUUCGCCAGGGUUUGCUGUUGUUCAGUGACUGGCUGGGCAGCAGUUAGCUGAUGGCAGCUGGAGGUUUCUGCAGGUUCAGAGGCUGGAUUCAAGCUGAAAGGAGAGACUUCCUGCAGAAGACUCAGCCCAGGGCCCUGAUAAUGCCGUUAUAGCAGGGGUAUUGAGGAGUCUUGAGCUGUUGGAGAUGGCCCUGUGUAUGUACUACACCCUGCAAUCUGCACCCAGGUUUUUCUGACAGGGAACAGUAUCUAGGCAAUCUCUCAUUGCUUGAUAUAGGCUCACCCAUCUUACAGGCUGCUUAAAAAUGCCAAAGCUGUUGCUAGAGCAGUGCUGAGUCUAAAGAACAAGACGGUAUAAGCAUGAUAUUUCAGCAUGUUCUCAUAGUGAUAUUAAGUGGAGUUACUCAGUUUACAGUGAGCUUGAAAUGAGGACAGGUCUCGUUCAGACAUGUCCAUAUACUCCUGUAAACACAAAGCCUGAGAUGCAGCCACGGAUCAAUAUGCCCUCAGUACGACUGGAAGUUUGCAGGAGUAGAUUAUGCUGUUCUUGCUGGAAAUGGAUAUUGAUUGCCUCUGGGAAUAGACAUGGGAUGAGGGACAGAAUGUUGCAUACGCGCCAAUUAAGAAACACAUCAGGGAUUGUUAAUCUCUGUCCCAGCCAGCUUUUUAGAAAUGCUUUUGAUGAAGAUGUAAUAAACACAAAGUGUCAGGGUCAAAAAUAGCAACAGCUGCUAUGAAAGAAAGGAGAAAGUAGUCUUUCUUUGCCACCUGAUAUCCUUGUUGCAACAGGCAAUCCAGUGAAAGCUCAAUCAGAUGAGUUUAUAAUGGGGUUGUCAAACCUGUGCACUGCACCCAUCAUGACUGUUCUGAUGGAAGUGGCUGCAGGGUUAAAUGAUAUUUUAAAGUGAUUUCUGUGCAGUAUUUAUUGCUUUAUUCGUAACAGAUUUAAGAUACAAUAUCUAAGUGUUCUCUUUUUGAAACAAAUCUAAGGAACGGCCUUACAUUGCUGCUAUCCUUUCACGUACACUUCAUAAAAUAAGUUGUACCUGUUGAAAAAUGAAUGAGCCUACUUCAUUAAAUAGUGGAGACAAAUAUAUAUCAAAUGAAAUCUUCAAAUUAGAAGAUGCUUCACAGAUGGCUUGUGGCUGGUCUCUUAAAAUUGUUAAGUUCAAGGUAGGCAAUUAGCUUCAAUACAUUUUUAUGAAGUAUUCAUGGAGUUAGAUUUUAUAGUAGCAUUAGUUUUCAUUUUACCUUAAUUUAUCAUCAGACACUUCACUCAGGGACACCAGGAACUUGCCUCUACCCCUUCCCUGCUUAGCAUCCUACCUGCUUAUUUUGGCAGCCUUGAAUACAUUAUUCUGUCAUCUGACACAAUGUCAAAUUGUUUCUGGUAUAAGCGGGGAUAGCAUGAGUGCAAAAACAAGUCCAACCUCCCUUUC